AUUGAGGAGUGCGGUUACUGGACAGGCUGGGUUUAUGGUCUCUCCAUGGGCUGCUCCGUCGGCUGGUGCUUUUUUAUCAGGGCAAGCUGUGUUCCAUAGCAGGGAACUUUUGGCAGAGCUCCCACUAUUUGCAAUGGAUUUUGGAUAAAUAGGAUCUGUUGAAGGAGCACCAAAAGGAUUUAAAGUUUCUCUCUGAAGAAGAAUAUUGGAAGUUACAAAUAUUUUUUACAAAUGUUAUCCAAGCAUUAGGUGAACAUCUUAAAUUAAAACAACAAGUUAUUGCCACUGCUACAGUAUAUUUCAAGAGAUCCUAUGCCAGGUAUUCUCUGAAAAGUAUAGAUCUUGUAUUAAUGGCUCCUACAUGUCUGUUUUUGGCAUCAAAGUUGAGGAAUUUGGAGUAGUUUCAAAUGCAAGAUUGACUGCUCCUGCUACUUCUAUAUUAAAAACUAGAUUUUCAUAUGCCUUUCCAAAGGAAUUUCCCUAGGAUGAAUCAUAUAUUAGAAUGUGAAUUCUACCUGUUACAACUAAUGGAUUGUUGCUUGAUAGUGUAUCAUCCUUAUAGUCCUUUGCUCCAGCAUGUGCAGGACGUGGGCCAAGAAGACAUGUUGCUUCCCCUUGCAUGGAGGAUAGUGAAUGAUACCUACAGAAUGGAUCUUUGCCUACUGUAUCCUCUUUUCAUGAUAGCUUUAGCUUGCCUACGUGUAGCCUGUGUUGUACAGCAGAAAGAUGCCAGGCAAUGGUUUGCUGAGCUUCCUGUGGAUAUUGAAAAGAUUUUGGAAAUAAUCAGGGUUAUUUUAAAACUAUAUGAACAGUGGAAGAAUUUCGAUGAAAGAAAAGAGAUGGCAACUAUUCUUAGUAAGUUGCCAAAACCAAAACCACCUCCAAACAGUGAAGGAGAGCAAAGGUCCAAAUGGAAGUCAGAACUCUAGCUACAGCCAAUCUUAA